rnacentral:tRNA from 1 species
GCCCGAGUGUCGAAAUUGGUAUACGAACUUGACUCAAAAUCAAGCGCCCAUAAGGCAUGCCGGUUCGAGUCCGGCCUCGGGCA